ensembl:antisense 1700001J04Rik uncharacterized LOC110304282
GAGUCCUUCCUCCACCUCCUACUGACUUACUCACUCUACCAUCUUGUCACAGCACUUACACUCUUAGGGCCCCUGGGAUAUCUAUUAAUCUGACUAUAUCCUGUCACCCUUCUGGGCCAAACCACUUCCACUCUGCUGGCAGAUCCCAUGUGGGAAGAGAGUGAGCAGGGGAGGGUCCAUUCCCCAUCCUGAGGUUGUUGGUGGAAGACAUUCACAGGAUUCCUCCUUCAGCGAUGGCUGGGCAUCCUGGAAGUGGGGCAGGCAGCUGAAGAACAGAGAAGCAAGGUUUCCACUUCACCCUACCGUACACAUGCUUUGGACUUUGGAAUCGAAGUUCAGGGGGCAUUUUAGACCUGUCAGUUUGAGGACGGACUCAGUCAAGAGGCACAGUGGGGGCCCCUGUGCAGGAUGCUCAUGCCAGGAUAAAGAGAUGAGCACUCAUGCGAGCAAUGAUGCGAGAGAGAUGGGCUCUGGCUAACUUCAGGUCGCCUAGCAACCCUGACAGACAGACAGCCUGGCCAGUCACUGUUGGCCGCUGAUAUCCACCUGCCUCCUGAAGCUAGAGGGAGCCACAAAUCAAGUGCUGCCCCACCCGGCCUCCACUCUCCCUGCCACCAACAUCUGACCUUCUUCAAGCCCCUAAAUAGGCAGCUGGGUGACCACCGCUUCUCACCUCGCCCUUUGCCCUCCACCUGAGACCCAUUCUGCAGCUUAAUCUGUGACAUUUAACAUAAAUAGUUUUCUAUUCCC